rnacentral:tRNA from 1 species
GCCUUCGUAGUGUAACAAUUAAAACACUCGGUUCUUACUCGAGAGGUCCAGGUUGGAGUCCGGUGAGGGCA